rnacentral:tRNA from 1 species
GCCCUGGUGGCUUAAAAGGUCAAGUGCUUGGCUGCUAACUGAAAGGUUAGUGGUUCAAACUCACUCGGUGGCU